UUUCCGUAGGUGAACCUGCGGAAGGAUCAUUAAUGAGUUGUCAUGGGGUUCGAUGCUGGCAGCCAAUUUUUGGAUGCAUGUGCUUGCCCUAACAAUCAUCUUCCAAACACCUGUGCACAUUUUUGAGGGAGUCUUGAGUUGGUUGCCGCUCUCGGGUGAUUUUCUCACAUUCCCUUAAAUCAUUAUACGCUAUUAACAAUGUUGAACGUGCUCUGUGCCGCAAGGCUAUUAAUAUAAUACAACUUUUAACAACGGAUCUCUUGGCUCUC
rnacentral:misc_RNA from 1 species